rnacentral:lncRNA from 1 species
CUUCAGUGUCACUACAUUUACAAUUCAUAUGAUAAACAAUAAUGGCCCAUAGCUCGUACAUGUACAAUAUGAAUGUUAGAAGGUCCACCACACUUUCCCGCUCCAUCCUUGCUACAGCUAAGAGAGAGAAUAGGCAUACAAUGUGUUAUCCUUGCAAUAUGAGAAGCAAAGUACAGAGCCACAACGGUAUUUCAAGUAAGCAUAAGAGAGAGAAUAUAUUGCAUUACUUCUAUAAGGAAUAUAAUGGUUCCAAUGAAUUGGUAUCCAGGUUUGACUACUUUUAUAAGAAACUUAUUUCCUGUAGUGUGUUGACACUUGAAGAAACAUGUUUCAUGUAAUCUAGACACUUGAAGAAGGCAACUGUAUAUGAAGCUCUGCAAUUCCCUCAUUGGUCCUGACAUAUUGGAUCCUUCGCCAUGCAUCCUGGGUUCAGGGGCUCAUUCUUUCCAAGAAAUUACAAAAAUCUUCUUGCUUCAGUUGCUUGUUACCUGUCAUACAACGUGUCAUCUCAUUCCAAAAUAUACUGAAGGCCUAAUAGACAUGGUUUGCAUGAGUUUAUCCAUUGCUUGCAUCUGUAUGUACAUACUGACAUGGAGUAACUCCUCUCUCAGUGAAUUUCAGAAAAGGGUCAUUUGGCGAUGACUCAUGUGAGCUGUGUUCAAGCCAGUUGACCAAUGCUGCAGCUAAAUCAUGUUUGGAGAAAGUAACCAUGAUGAUAUAUAGGUUAGAAACAAAAUAGAAGCCAAUUUUUAAGAUAAAACAUGGUAAACAUGAUAAACAUGGUAUUAGCACAACUGGAGCAAAGAUCACAACAUGGAAAAAUGAUCAUCAUUAUAGAUAAAAAAUAGGAUGGGUGAAUAAAAUAAUUAUUUCUCCUCAAUUUGACAUAGCAGAGCACGAGUACACCCAAAUAGAUACAUAAUUUUCCUGCUUUCCAUACUACCUAGAUAAUUAGAAUUGCUUGAAGGCAAAGUCUGUAAGAAAGGAAUAUGUAGAAAUUAGAAAACCAACAUAAAGUAAUCUGACAUUGUUCUAACCUUACGAAUUGAGGUGCAUUAGUAAGAAAAGUGAAACUUCUUACCCUGUUGCUUGCACAAGUAGCAGGCUUUCCUAGGUUUGAAUCACUCCAAGAAAUCAAUGGGUAAAUUGCGGCAGCUGCUUUGUUAUGCUAAUUGUGCGGAAGUACGAAGUGGUUAAGACAUCGACAUAGGGACGGAUUGCAUCACAAAUUCGACAACCAACAACGACAGGAGCACAUCUCUGAAGAAAGCACAAAUCCACAAUGUGAUCUCUACUCUCUGAUAGCCGGUGGAGAAAGUAGACGGAGAGCGCCAUCACCAGCACAUACAUGGGGUUCAUCACGAGCACUGGUGGAGCUCUGUCCAGGCUACAGAGGCGACGACGCGGGGUUCAUCUCCGUCACGCACAUUCAGGCGUCCACCGGCGGGCUGCAUGCCCUGUCGAGCCGGACCUAGUGCUCCGUCAAGGCUAUUAGUGCAGUAGCGCAGGUCGUUGCGCACACCGGCUCAAGCUUCAUGCCCCUGUAUCGCUUCUCGGCGUAGUGUACUCGCCGCUUACUCACUGGCCCCGUUUGCACCCUGCACAUGCACACACACAGACACACACACACACGCACGCACGCACGCACGCACACACACACACAGACACACACACACACAGAGAGAGAGAGACACACACAGACACACACACACACACACACACACACGAAGCUACGCACCGCAUACUCUACACAACCAGGACAACAUCUUCUACACACUCUGAAUUGAUUACAUAACAUCACAGAAAACAAUUUUGUUGUCAAAUUUCAAUAUAUUAUGGAAAGCAUGCUGAAAGAAACUUUGAUAGUUGAAAAUGCCUAAUUAUGUUUCCUAUGGGCAUCGGUUAAAAUGUCAAGAGUAGGGUUAAGAAUACCAUGAACAUAUAGCCUUCUUGCCAUAACGUAUCCUCAAUCUAGUCAGUUGUCCUUUUUUGUAUGGGCGC